GACGAACGCUGGCGGCGCGCCUAACACAUGCAAGUCGAACGGAGCUUAAAGAGCUUGCUUUUUAAGCUUAGUGGCGAACGGGUGAGUAACGCGUGAGUAACCUGCCCUAGAGUGGGGGACAACAGUUGGAAACGACUGCUAAUACCGCAUAAGCCCACGGUACCGCAUGACACUGAGGGAAAAGGAUUUAUUCGCUUUAGGAUGGACUCGCGUCCAAUUAGCUAGUUGGUGAGGUAACGGCCCACCAAGGCGACGAUUGGUAGCCGGACUGAAGAGGUUGAACGGCCACAUUGGGACUGAGACACGGCCCAAACUCCUACGGGAGGCAGCAGUGGGGAAUAUUGCACAAUGGGGGAAACCCUGAUGCAGCGACGCCGCGUGAGCGAUGAAGUAUUUCGGUAUGUAAAGCUCUAUCAGCAGGGAAGAAAAUGACGGUACCUGACUAAGAAGCACCGGCUAAAUACGUGCCAGCAGCCGCGGUAAUACGUAUGGUGCAAGCGUUAUCCGGAUUUACUGGGUGUAAAGGGAGCGUAGACGGAGUGGCAAGUCUGAUGUGAAAACCCGGGGCUCAACCCCGGGACUGCAUUGGAAACUGUCAAUCUAGAGUACCGGAGAGGUAAGCGGAAUUCCUAGUGUAGCGGUGAAAUGCGUAGAUAUUAGGAGGAACACCAGUGGCGAAGGCGGCUUACUGGACGGUAACUGACGUUGAGGCUCGAAAGCGUGGGGAGCAAACAGGAUUAGAUACCCUGGUAGUCCACGCCGUAAACGAUGACUACUAGGUGUCGGGCAGCAAAGCUGUUCGGUGCCGCAGCAAACGCAAUAAGUAGUCCACCUGGGGAGUACGUUCGCAAGAAUGAAACUCAAAGGAAUUGACGGGGACCCGCACAAGCGGUGGAGCAUGUGGUUUAAUUCGAAGCAACGCGAAGAACCUUACCUGCUCUUGACAUCUCCCUGACCGGCAAGUAAUGUUGCCUUUCCUUCGGGACAGGGAUGACAGGUGGUGCAUGGUUGUCGUCAGCUCGUGUCGUGAGAUGUUGGGUUAAGUCCCGCAACAAGCGCAACCCCUAUCUUUAGUAGCCAGCGGUUCAGCCGGGCACUCUAGAGAGACUGCCAGGGAUAACCUGGAGGAAGGUGGGGAGGACGUCAAAUCAUCAUGCCCCUUAUGAGCAUGGCUACACACGUGCUACAAUGGCGUAAACAAAGGGAGGCAGAACCGCGAGGUCGAGCAAAUCCCAAAAAUAACGUCUCAGUUCGGAUUGUAGUCUGCAACUCGACUACAUGAAGCUGGAAUCGCUAGUAAUCGCGAAUCAGAAUGUCGCGGUGAAUAAGUUCCCGUGUCUUGCACA
rnacentral:rRNA from 1 species